rnacentral:rRNA from 1 species
CGUCUAUAUACGUAUAGCAUAUCAAUAAGCGGAGGAAAAGAAACUAACAAGGAUUCCCUUAGUAACGGCGAGUGAAGCGGGAAGAGCUCAAAUUUGAAAUCUUCAAGGUUCUACCUUGACGAAUUGUAGUUUAUAGAAGUGUUUUCUGUUAGUAGAGUGGCAAAAGUUCUUUGGAAUAGGACAUCAUAGAGGGUGAGAAUCCCGUAUUUGGUCAUUCUUUCUAGCUUUGUGAUACACUUUCAACGAGUCGGAUUGUUUGGGAAUGCAGUCCAAAAUGGGUGGUAAAUUUCAUCUAAAGCUAAAUAUUGGCGAGAGACCGAUAGCGAACAAGUACCGUGAGGGAAAGAUGAAAAGAACUUUGAAAAGAGAGUUAAACAGUACGUGAAAUUGUCAAAAGGGAAGCGUUUGACACCAGUGUUGUUUUUCCGAAAAUCAAUUACGAAUGUUUUAUUUUUGAGAAGUUAUGACUUCAUCGGCUUGCUUCUCUCUUUAUGAAACUUUCUUAAUGCACUUUUCGGUUAACAAGUCAACAUCAAUUUCUUUUGUUGUAAAAGGGUAUGAGGAAGGUGGCUUUCUUUUCGGAGAAAGUGUUUAUAGCCUUGUACCUCUGCAAUCGGAGAGAUUGAGGUCUGCAGCGUAGAUCCUUCGGGGUUAGAUACAUUUGUGCUAAGUUAUAGCUUUUCAUAGACAACUUGUUGACUAUGUUUAGUCUUGUAGCUUACUCGCUUAUGCUAUUUUACCUACGCUUAGGAUGUUGAUAUGCAUGACUGAUAU